rnacentral:rRNA from 1 species
GAGUUUGAUCGUGGCUCAGGACGAACGCUGGCGGCAGGCCUAACACAUGCAAGUCGAACGAGAAACCAGAGCUUGCUCUGGUGGGACAGUGGCAGACGGGUGAGUAACGCGUGGGGAAUAUACCCAGUAGUACGGGAAUAGCCUUUGGAAACGGAGAGUAAUACCGUAUUCGCCCUUCGGGGAAGGAUUUAUUCGCUAUUGGAGUAGCCCGCCGUUAGAUUAGAUAGUUGGUAGGGUAAUGGCCUACCAAGUCGACGAUCUAUAGCUGGUUUGAGAGGAUGAUCAGCCACACUGGGACUGAGACACGGCCCAGACUCCUACGGGAGGCUGGCAGUGAGGAAUAUUGGGACAAUGGGGGAAACCCUGAUCCAGCCAUGCCGCGUGAAUGAAGAAGGCCUUAGGGUUGUAAAGUUCUUUCGUCGGUGAAGAUAAUGACGGUAGCCGAAGAAGAAGCCCCGGCUAACU